CCUACGGGAGGCAGCAGUGGGGAAUUUUGGACAAUGGGCGCAAGCCUGAUCCAGCAAUGCCGCGUGCAGGAUGAAGGCCUUCGGGUUGUAAACUGCUUUUGUACGGAACGAAACGGUGAGCUCUAAUACAGUUUGCUAAUGACGGUACCGUAAGAAUAAGCACCGGCUAACUACGUGCCAGCAGCCGCGGUAAUACGUAGGGUGCGAGCGUUAAUCGGAAUUACUGGGCGUAAAGCGUGCGCAGGCGGUGAUGUAAGACAGAUGUGAAAUGCCCGGGCUCAACCUGGGACCUGCAUUUGUGACUGCAUCGCUAGAGUACGGUAGAGGGGGAUGGAAUUCCGCGUGUAGCAGUGAAAUGCGUAGAUAUGCGGAGGAACACCGAUGGCGAAGGCAAUCCCCUGGACCUGUACUGACGCUCAUGCACGAAAGCGUGGGGAGCAAACAGGAUUAGAUACCCUGGUAGUCCACGCCCUAAACGAUGUCAACUGGUUGUUGGGUCUUCACUGACUCAGUAACGAAGCUAACGCGUGAAGUUGACCGCCUGGGGAGUACGGCCGCAAGGUUGAAACUCAAAUGAAUUGACGGCUGAGGACGNGCGAGGNGACACAGGGGAGAGG
rnacentral:rRNA from 1 species